GGACUAAGAACUCUCGCCUGCG
rnacentral:misc_RNA from 1 species